GACGAACGCUGGCGGCGUGCUUAACACAUGCAAGUCGAACGGAAAGGCCCUGCUUUUGUGGGGUGCUCGAGUGGCGAACGGGUGAGUAACACGUGAGUAACCUGCCCUUGACUUUGGGAUAACUUCAGGAAACUGGGGCUAAUACCGGAUAGGAGCUCCUGCUGCAUGGUGGGGGUUGGAAAGUUUCGGCGGUUGGGGAUGGACUCGCGGCUUAUCAGCUUGUUGGUGGGGUAGUGGCUUACCAAGGCUUUGACGGGUAGCCGGGCUGCGAGGGUGACCGGCCACAUUGGGACGGAGAUACGGCCCAGACUCCUACGGGAGGCAGCAGUGGGGAAUAUUGCACAAUGGGCGGAAGCCUGAUGCAGCAACGCCGCGUGCGGGAUGACGGCCUUCGGGUUGUAAACCGCUUUCGCCUGUGACGAAGCGUGAGUGACGGUAAUGGGUAAAGAAGCACCGGCUAACUACGUG
rnacentral:rRNA from 1 species